AUGAAUAAUAUUUUGAUAAAUAUUUAUCCAUGCCGUUUUGUUGUGACGUAUAUGAAGAAAAAAUUGAUUCCACAGAAUUUUGAGAUAGGAAUUUCCUCAAUGUUUUUAAAUUCAUGUUGUCAUGGUUACACAGACACACAUUAGCAUAAACCCACUCACACUCACUUUACUCACUUGCUAAUAAAUAACCACUUUUUGGCUGAUGAUGAAGAUCCCGUUGGAUCCGAAUUCUUAUAUUUACAUACGAGCAAAUCUCUCUACACACACACAGAUGAGCCUAGAUUUUAUAAUUCAUCAAUAGAAAAUAGUGUGUGUGUAAAAUGGAAAAUUGUAUUAAAAUUUAUAAGGAAAUUUUAUAAAAUGGAAAGAAAAUGACAACGACACAACAAAAUAUUUUGUCAACUUUGCUCCGUGGCUGCUGCUCCAAUUGUUUUCAAAUGACCUCCACCCACAACAACCACGACCACCACCACUCACACGCCCAUUCGAGACCACGGCCCCUCCGCCUCCGUCGUGAAGACAUAGGACAACCCAUGGAUUUUCGCCAUUUACAACAUUUAGGAAGCGAAGAUGUUUGUAGAAAUAAUUUCAAUAAUUUACAUUCCGCCGUUUGCUGAGGUUUAUUGAGUUUUUUUAAAUUUAUUUAAUAAAUUCUGCUUUUUGCUUCGGAAUAAAUUGAUUUUUUGAGGGAAAAA